AGGUACCAUGAGGUGCUGAGAAGACGCAAUAGUUACUAUCCAGACAUUAUUCACGUUGAUGGUUUAAUAUCAGUAGUACAAAGUUCCUGUUCAUAUACUUUGACUUCACAUUGGAGACCUUCUGACAGGAAAAGGCAGUGGCAGCCAUCCAGAUGACUUCUGAAAAAGAGUUUUCCCAGAGCUGGCUGGAAUAAAAUUAGCUUUCAAGAUGUGGAAGUUUAAAAAAAAAAAAAUCAAACUGAGCAUUUAAGUUUCUGAAAUAAUGUCUUCAUUUGGAAAUAAAUUAUAUAAAAAACAA